CCUACGGGGGACUGCAGUAGGGAAUCUUCCACAAUGGGCGAAAGCCUGAUGGAGCAACGCCGCGUGGGUGAAGAAGGUCUUCGGAUCGUAAAACCCUGUUGUUAGAGAAGAAAGUGCGUGAGAGUAACUGUUCACGUUUCGACGGUAUCUAACCAGAAAGCCACGGCUAACUACGUGCCAGCAGCCGCGGUAAUACGUAGGUGGCAAGCGUUAUCCGGAUUUAUUGGGCGUAAAGGGAACGCAGGCGGUCUUUUAAGUCUGAUGUGAAAGCCUUCGGCUUAACCGGAGUAGUGCAUUGGAAACUGGGAGACGUGAGUGCAGAAGAGGGGAGUGGAACUCCAUGUGGAGCGGUGAAAUGCGUAGAUAUAUGGAAGAACACCAGUGGCGAAGGCGGCUCUCUGGUCUGUAACUGACGCUGAGGUUCGAAAGCGUGGGUAGCAAACAGGAUUAGAUACCCUUGUAGUC
rnacentral:rRNA from 1 species